UACGAAGGGGGCGAGCGUUGUUCGGAUUUACUGGGCGUAAAGGGCGCGCAGGCGGCUCAUUUUGUCAGGCGUGAAAGCCCCGGGCUUAACCUGGGAACUGCGUUUGAGACGGAUGGGCUAGAGUUCGGGAGAGGAGAGUGGAAUUGCGAGUGUAGAGGUGAAAUUCGUAGAUAUUCGCAAGAACACCAGUGGCGAAGGCGGCUCACUGGCCCGAUACUGACGCUGAGGCACGAAAGCGUGGGGAGCAAACAGG
rnacentral:rRNA from 1 species